rnacentral:rRNA from 1 species
GUCUCUUAGAAUAAAUUAAGAGUCUAACCUGCCCAGUGAUUUAUUUUUAACGGCCGCGGUACCCUGACCGUGCAAAGGUAGCAUAAUCAUUUGCCUUUUAAUUGAAGGCUAGUAUGAAUGGUUUGACGUAAGUAAAGCUGUCUCGCAUAUAAUCAAUAGAAAUUAAUCUAAAGGUGCAAAAGCCUUUAUGCUCUAGAAAGACGAGAAGACCCUGUUGAGCUUUAGUUUAAUUAAGUACCUUUUUAUAUUUAUAUAAUUUAUCACUUAAGUAAAACUUUAAUUGGGGCGAUUAAGGAACAUUCAUUAGCUUCCUACUAAAAGGCUUAUAUAAACAAAUUAUAUCGAUCCAGCAAUGCUGAUCAAUGGAUCUAGUUACCACAGGGAUAACAGCAUAAUUCUUUUUAAGAGCCCAUAUCGAAAAAAGAGAUUGUGACCUCGAUGUUGGACUAGGGUGACAGAAAGGUGCAGCCGCUUUUCUGCUUGGUCUGUUCGACCA